GAAGCUGUAGCUGAGUGGUAGAGCAUCUGCUUUGCAUGCAGAAGGCCCCAGGUUCUAUCCUCAGUGGUAACUCCA